UUUCCGUAGGUGAACCUGCGGAGGGAUCAUUAAGAAUUGAACAGCAGUGUCUGGCACUGUUGCCCAUUCUAACCCUUUGUGAACCAAACUUGUUGCUUCGGGGGCGACCCUGCCGCUUCGGCGGUGCGGCGCCCCCGGAGGCCAUCAAACCCUGCGUAACUAAGUCGUCGGAGUUUAAACAAAUAAAACAAAACUUUCAACAACGGAUCUCUUGGUUCGGGCAUCGAUGAAGAACGCAGC
rnacentral:misc_RNA from 1 species